GAUGAACGCUGGCGGCGUGCUUAACACAUGCAAGUCGAACGAUGAAGCCCAGCUUGCUGGGUGGAUUAGUGGCGAACGGGUGAGUAACACGUGAGUAACCUGCCCUUAACUCUGGGAUAAGCCUGGGAAACUGGGUCUAAUACCGGAUAGGAGCGCCUACCGCAUGGUAGGUGUUGGAAAGAUUUAUCGGUUUUGGAUGGACUCGCGGCCUAUCAGCUUGUUGGUGAGGUAAUGGCUCACCAAGGCGACGACGGGUAGCCGGCCUGAGAGGGUGACCGGCCACACUGGGACUGAGACACGGCCCAGACUCCUACGGGAGGCAGCAGUGGGGAAUAUUGCACAAUGGGCGAAAGCCUGAUGCAGCGACGCCGCGUGAGGGAUGACGGCCUUCGGGUUGUAAACCUCUUUCAGUAGGGAAGAAGCGAAAGUGACGGUACCUGCAGAAGAAGCACCGGCUAACUACGUG
rnacentral:rRNA from 1 species